rnacentral:rRNA from 1 species
UACGUAGGGGGCAAGCGUUGUCCGGAAUCAUUGGGCGUAAAGAGCGCGUAGGCGGUCCGGUAAGUCCGCUCUGAAAGUCCGGGGCUCAACCCCGGGAGGCGGGCGGAUACUGUCGGGCUAGAGUCCGGAAGAGGCGAGUGGAAUUCCUGGUGUAGCGGUGAAAUGCGCAGAUAUCAGGAGGAACACCAAUAGCGAAGGCAGCUCGCUGGGACGGUACUGACGCUGAGGUGCGAAAGCGUGGGGAGCGAACAGG